rnacentral:rRNA from 1 species
GAUGAACGCUAGCGGCAGGCUUAAUACAUGCAAGUCGUACGGGAUCCGAGGUAGCAAUACUUUGGUGAGAGUGGCGCACGGGUGCGUAACACGUAUGCAACCUACCUUUAACCGGGACACAACCUCGAGAAAUUGAGGCUAAUAUCCCAUAACACUGCGAAGUGGCAUCAUUUUGCAGUUAAAACUCCGGUGGUUACAGAUGGGCAUGCGCGACAUUAGCUAGUUGGUGAGGUAACGGCUCACCAAGGCUACGAUGUCUAGGGGUUCUGAGAGGAUUAUCCCCCACACUGGUACUGAGACACGGACCAGACUCCUACGGGAGGCAGCAGUAGGGAAUAUUGCGCAAUGGGCGAAAGCCUGACGCAGCGACGCCGCGUGAGUGAUGAAGGCCUUAGGGUCGUAAAGCUCUGUUGAAUGGGAAGAAAAAAAUGACGGUACCAUUCGAGAAAGGACCGGCUAACUUCGUGCCAGCAGCCGCGGUAAU